CUCUCUCCUUUCUCUCUCUCCCUCUCCCUCUCUUCUCUCCCUCCACUUGUCCAUCCAUCUCUCCUGUCAGCAGUGAUGUCAGUGAGGAUUCCAGACUCAUUAUCCUGGCUGGCAGAGAAUCUCCUCCUCAUCAACGUCUCAACUGGCAUCCUUCACUUCCAGCAGUGGGACCAUGUCAGACAGAGAGGAAGAGCAUGAG